CGUCUCAGUUCGGAUUGUAGUCUGCAACUCGACUACAUGAAGCUGGAAUCGCUAGUAAUCGCGAAUCAAAAUGUCGCGGUGAAUACGUUCCCGGGUCUUGUACACACCGCCCGUCACACCAUGGGAGUCAGUAACGCCCGAAGCCGGUGACCCAACCAAUUCAGGAGGGAGCCGUCGAAGGUGGGACCGAUAACUGGGGUGAAGUCGUAACAAGGUAGC
rnacentral:rRNA from 1 species